rnacentral:rRNA from 1 species
UACCAGCACCCCGAGUGGUCGGGACGUUUAUUGGGCCUAAAGCAUCCGUAGCCGGUUCUACAAGUCUUCCGUUAAAUCCAACUGCUUAACAGGUGGGCUGCGGAAGAUACUAUAGAGCUAGGAGGCGGGAGAGGCAAGCGGUACUCGAUGGGUAGGGGUAAAAUCCGUUGAUCCAUUGAAGACCACCAGUGGUGAAGGCGGCUUGCCAGAACGCGCUCGACGGUGAGGGAUGAAAGCUGGGGGAGCAAACCGG